rnacentral:rRNA from 1 species
AUUGAACGCUGGCGGAAUGCUUUACACAUGCAAGUCGAGCGGCAGCGCGGGGCAACCUGGCGGCGAGCGGCGAACGGGUGAGUAACACAUCGGAACGUGCCCAGACGUGGGGGAUAGCCCGGCGAAAGCCGGAUUAAUACCGCAUACGAUCUAAGGAUGAAAGCGGGGGACUCGCAAGGGCCUCGCGCGUUUGGAGCGGCCGAUGGCAGAUUAGGUAGUUGGUGGGGUAAAGGCUUACCAAGCCUGCGAUCUGUAGCUGGUCUGAGAGGAUGAUCAGCCACACUGGGACUGAGACACGGCCCAGACUCCUACGGGAGGCAGUAGUGGGGAAUUUUGGACAAUGGGCGCAAGCCUGAUCCAGCCAUUCCGCGUGCAGGACGAAGGCCUCGGUUGUAAC